rnacentral:rRNA from 1 species
UGGGGAAUCUUGCGCAAUGGGAGCAAUCCUGACGCAGCAACGCCGCGUGGGUGAUGAAGGUCUUCGGAUCGUAAAGCCCUGUCGGAGGGGAAGAGGCUUUGCACAGCUAACAGUGGUGCAAGGUGACGGUACCCUCACAGGAAGCACCGGCUAACUCUGUGCCAGCAGCCGCGGUAAUACAGAGGGUGCAAGCGUUGUUCGGAAUUAUUGGGCGUAAAGGGAGUGUAGGCGGUUGGGAAAGUCUUCUGUGAAAUCUACGGGCUCAGCCUGUAACGUGCAGAGGAAACUACUCGGCUUGAGUGUCGGAGAGGAUAGGGGAAUACCCGGUGUAGAGGUGAAAUUCGUAGAGAUCGGGUGGAACACCAGUGGCGAAGGCGCCUGUCUGGCUGACAACUGACGCUGAGACUCGAAAGCAUGGGGAGCAAA